rnacentral:rRNA from 1 species
CAGUAGCCACGGUAAUACGGAGGGAGCUAGCGUUGUUCGGAAUUACUGGGCGUAAAGCGCGCGUAGGCGGUUACUCAAGUCAGAGGUGAAAGCCCGGGGCUCAACCCCGGAACUGCCUUUGAAACUAGGUGACUAGAAUCUUGGAGAGGUCAGUGGAAUUCCGAGUGUAGAGGUGAAAUUCGUAGAUAUUCGGAAGAACACCAGUGGCGAAGGCGACUGACUGGACAAGUAUUGACGCUGAGGUGCGAAAGCGUGGGGAGCAAACAGGAUUAGAUACCCGGGUAGUCCCUGUCUCUUAUAC